AGAAUCAACGCUGGCGGCGUGCCUAACACAUGCAAGUCGAACGAGAAAGUGGAGCAAUCCAUGAGUAAAGUGGCGACCGGGUGAGUAACACGUGACUAACCUACCUUCAAGUGGGGGAUAACCUCGGGAAACCGAGACUAAUACCGCAUAAUAUCGCAAGAUCAAAGCAGCAAUGCGCUGGAAGAGGGGGUCGCGGCUGAUUAGCUAGUUGGCGGGGUAACGGCCCACCAAGGCGAAGAUCGGUAUCCGGCCUGAGAGGGCGCACGGACACACUGGAACUGAAACACGGUCCAGACUCCUACGGGAGGCAGCAGUGGGGAAUUUUGCGCAAUGGGGGAAACCCUGACGCAGCAACGCCGCGUGGAGGAUGAAGCCCCUUGGGGCGUAAACUCCUUUCGACCAAGACGAUAAUGACGGUACUGGUGGAAGAAGCACCGGCUAACUCUGCGCAGCAGCCGC
rnacentral:rRNA from 1 species